rnacentral:ncRNA from 1 species
AGAGAUAUGGUAGAUGGGCUAGAAGAGCAUGACAUAUACUGUUGUGUCGAUAUUUUCUCCUCGGACCUUGAAAAUUUAUGGUGGGGACACGCAAACUUCUCAACAGGCCGUACCAAUAUCCGCAGCUGGUCUCCAAGGUGAAGAGUCUCUAGUCGAUAGAAUAAUGUAGGUAAGGGAAGUCGGCAAAUUAGAUCCGUAACUUCGGGAUAAGGAUUGGCUCUGAAGAUUGAGAUAGUCGGGCUUGAUUGGGAAACAAUAACAUGGUUUAUGUGCUCGUUCUGGGUAAAUAGAGUUUCUAGCAUUUAUGUUAGUUACUUGUUCCCCGGAUAGUUUAGUUACGUAGCCAAUUGUGGAACUUUCUUGCUAAAAUUUUUAAGAAUACUAUUUGGGUUAAACCAAUUAGUUCUUAUCAAUUAUAACGAUUAUCAAUUAACAAUCAAUUCAGAACUGGCACGGACUUGGGGAAUCCGACUGUCUAAUUAAAACAAAGCAUUGUGAUGGCCCUAGCGGGUGUUGACACAAUGUGAUUUCUGCCCAGUGCUCUGAAUGUCAAAGUGAAGAAAUUCAAGUAAGCGCGGGUCAACGGCGGGAGCAAAUGGAUCACUCGCUUGAGAGGGUUUGGUCUGCUACCCUCGAGAACGACCUUCGGGCAUCUAGAAGCUCAUUAUCUUCCUCUCCGGGGCCUGACGGGAUAGCUCCAAAAACAGCCAGGGAGGUGCCUUCAGGUAUUAUGUUGCGAAUUAUGAACCUAAUUCUAUGGCGCGGCAAUCUACCACACUCGAUCUGACUGGCCAGAAGCGUCAUCAUCCCAAAGACGGAGACGGCCUAAGAGACCGCGACACUAUUCGUCCAAUAUGGGGUGCCUUCAGUCCUGGGAAUACAGCUG